rfam:Orchesella cincta Ocin01_Sc8644, whole genome shotgun sequence.
CCAACGGCCUUUUUAAGGCCACCACAUUUUACAAAGAGCAAUUG